rnacentral:tRNA from 1 species
GGGGCUAUAGCUCAAUGGUAGAGUAUUUGCAUGGCAUGCAAAAGGCUAGGGGUUCGAGCCCCCUUAGCUCCA